rnacentral:misc_RNA from 1 species
GAUGAAGAACGUAGCGAAAUGCGAUAAGUAAUGUGAAUUGAAGAAUUCAGUGAAUCAUCGAAUCUUUGAACGCACAUUGCGCCCGCCAGUAUUCUGGCGGGCAUGCCUGUUCGAGCGUCAUUACAACCCUCAGGCCCCCGGGCCUGGCGUUGGGGAUCGGCGGAAGCCCCCUGCGGGCACAACGCCGUCCCCCAAAUACAGUGGCGGUCCCGCCGCAGCUUCCAUUGCGUAGUAGCUAACACCUCGCAACUGGAGAGCGGCGCGGCCACGCCGUAAAACACCCAACUUCUGAAUGUUGACCUCGAAUCAGGUAGGAAUACCCGCUGAACUUAAGCAUAUCAAUAAGCGGAGGA